UACGUAGGGGGCAAGCGUUGUCCGGAUUUAUUGGGCGUAAAGCGCACGUAGGCGGCUUGGCAAGUCGGAUGUGAAAUCCCUCGGCUCAACCAAGGAAGUGCAUCCGAAACUGCUGAGCUUGAGUACGAAAGAGGAUCGCGGAAUUCCCGGUGUAGAGGUGAAAUUCGUAGAUAUCGGGAGGAACACCAGUGGCGAAGGCGGCGAUCUGGGUCGAUACUGACGCUGAGGUGCGAAAGCGUGGGGAGCAAACAGG
rnacentral:rRNA from 1 species